rnacentral:tRNA from 1 species
GGAGAGGUGGCCGAGCGGUUGAAGGCGCCGGUCUUGAAAACCGGUGAGCGAAAGCUUCGUGGGUUCGAAUCCCACCCUCUCCGCCA